rnacentral:lncRNA from 1 species
UUCUAUUCGGUAUUUAUUUUUCACGUAUCAAAUGAAAUUUCAUGACCACCUAUUCAAGAAAAAUGAAAUUUCAUGACCAUACGUAUGAAGUUGAACUACUACUAUUAACUACAAAAGCGACAAAUACAUACAAGUUGGUGAGUGACGUGACAAAGCUCCGCAUCACAUGUAGGUCACACAUUCCAAUGCAAUAAUUGGCCUCUAAUAUAAGUAAUAAUUGUACUAGGACAGCCUAUUCCAUAAAAUAUCUCAACAAUAAAUUAGUUUAAGUGAUAAAAAUAACUUUUAACCGGAUGGUCAAUGUUCGAU